GAUGAACGCUGGCGGCGUGCCUAAUACAUGCAAGUCGAGCGAACGGACGAGAAGCUUGCUUCUCUGAUGUUAGCGGCGGACGGGCGAGUAACACGUGGAUAACCUACCUAUAAGACUGGGAUAACUUCGGGAAACCGGAGCUAAUACCGGAUGAUAUUUUGAACCGCAUGGUUCAAAAGUGAAAGACGGUCUUGCUGUCACUUAUAGAUGGAUCCGCGCUGCAUUAGCUAGUUGGUAAGGUAACGGCUUACCAAGGCAACGAUGCAUAGCCGACCUGAGAGGGUGAUCGGCCACACUGGAACUGAGACACGGUCCAGACUCCUACGGGAGGCAGCAGUAGGGAAUCUUCCGCAAUGGGCGAAAGCCUGACGGAGCAACGCCGCGUGAGUGAUGAAGGUCUUCGGGUCGUAAAGCUCUGUUAUUAGGGAAGAACAUAUGUGUAAGUAACUGUGCACGUCUUGACGGUACCUAAUCAGAAAGCCACGGCUAACUACGUG
rnacentral:rRNA from 1 species